rnacentral:rRNA from 1 species
UACGAAGGGUGCAAGCGUUUAAUCGGAAUUACUGGGCGUAAAGCGCGCGUAGGUGGUUCAUUAAGUUGGAUGUGAAAGCCCUGGGCUCAACCUGGGAACUGCAUCCAAAACUGGUGAGCUAGAGUACGGUAGAGGGUAGGUGGGAAUUUCCUGUGUAGCGGUGAAAUGCGUAGAUAUAGGAAGGAACACCAGUGGCGAAGGCGGCUUCCUGGACCGAUACUGACGCUGAGGCGCGAAAGCUAGGGGAGCAAACGGG